UUGAGAGAGGCGCAGUUUUUAAGAGUAAAAAUUAGAUAAUUCAGAAUAAUGCUAAUUUAUGAAAGGAAAAACUGCCGAAAUUAAAAAAGAUAGUCUGAUAUCCUUUUUAGUUGGAUUAAUGCAAAAUAUGUAUUAGUCUGUCACAAGAAAAACUUGUGGAGUGCUGUC
rnacentral:ncRNA from 1 species